GACGAACGCUGGCGGCGUGCUUAAUACAUGCAAGUCGAGCGGAAAGGCCCUGCUUUUGUUGGGUGCUCGAGUGGCGAACGGGUGAGUAACACGUGAGUAACCUGCCCUUGACUUUGGGAUAACUCCAGGAAACUGGGGCUAAUACCGGAUAGGAUCUCCUGCUGCAUGUGGGGGGUUGGAAAGUUUCGGCGGUUGGGGAUCGACUCGCAGGUUAUCAGCUUGUUUGUGGGGUAGGUGCUUACCAGGGCUUUGACGGAUAGGCGGCAUGAGAGGGGGGACGGCCACCAUGCGACUGAGGUACGCAGCAGUAUGCUAUCGGAGGCAGUAGUCGGAAAUCUGGCGGAACGGGGGGGAGUCUGAGACAGAAACGCUGGGUGCGUGAUAACGGGCUACGGGUUGAAAACAGAUUUCGAAUGUGCUGAAGAGUGAGUGACGGUAAUUGGUAAGGAAGCAACGGCUAACUACGUG
rnacentral:rRNA from 1 species